AAAAAAUUAGUUAAAUAUAAAUAACAUUAGUUUGUCAAACUAAAAUUAUCUAAAUAAGAUAUUUUUUA
rnacentral:tRNA from 2 species